ACCCUCCUUAUCUUGGGAUUGCGCUACUGUUCAAUGAAUGUCUAGUGAGAACAGCACUGCUAACACUCAAACAACACACAAGCAUCCCUGGGGUAAAUACCCCCCUCCCCAAAAUGAAGGGUAGACUUUAUGGAAAU
rnacentral:ncRNA from 1 species